CAAUUCCCCCUUAUCUAUGGUUUCGCUUUCUGCAGUUUCAGUUGCCCAAGAUCAACUGUGGUUCAGAAGCAGAUGCUUCUCCUUCUGACGUGUCAUCUAACAGUACAUCAGAACACCUACAUCAUUUACCUCCCUUUAUCUCAUCACAUAGGCAUUUUAUCAUUUCAUAUCACCACAAGAAGAAGGGCUUCCACCUGAUCGUUGCCGCACGUUUGGGGGCCCCCAUCCCAUCGGGAGAGAUACCACAGGUUUCCUGAGUUCUGAGAGCUGCUCUAUCAAAUUAAAGGGACCGAAGGAGCGGGUCAGGGGAAUUUCUGAUUUAUAGCUAUCAGAUAUACAGUAGGCUCCACACCCAGCGUGGAGUCCAACAUGGGACUUGAACUCACAACCCUGAGAUCAAGACAUGAACUGAAAUCAAGAGUCGGACACUUAACUGACUGAUCCACCCAGGAAUCAUCCAGGAUGAUGGUGGGACUAGAAGUGACCUAUGAGCCGGAUGCCAGGAUCCUUAAUAAACAUGGCUGGACCGGGAGGAAGAGAAGAAGAGAAAAUGUGCUGGCAAUUGACAACAUGGCAGAGAUUUAGAAGCAUUUAGUCUUUCUCAAAAGAUGGUGGUUGCUCAGUCAUCCAGAAGCCUUCUAGCACCCUCAGUGAAAAUGAAGGCUUCACCAAGGUUGUUACUGGGUGGUUAAGAGCAUGGACCUAAAGCCAAGGAUCUUCCAUUUUCAAGCUAUUCAGGGACAAACCUUGAAUUUCUAUGCCCAGUUCAGAGUAAAGGCAAACCCUGACAUUUCUGUGAGACAGAGCAUAAAGUUGCAAAUAGCCUCUGUGAUAAAACCCGAUUUAACCAGGCAAAACCUUUAAGCUUACACGCGGCCUGUUAAAUCCACCACAGACCAAAUGUCAGACGUUGCCCUUUAAAGCCCAAGUAAAUGACCACAGUACUAUGGCUUAAGACGAAAAAAGUUAAAUCUCACACGCCCACAGGUAAUCUUUCCAAAUGUCGUUUAAUCACAUAUUCAUAAUUAUUACAGUGUUCUUUAAAAGGAGGGUAACAUUUGGAGACAACUGUUUGACCAAAGCGUGAGGCGUUCUUUUCUUGAACACAGAGUUUGCUUCCUUUGUUUCAGUGCGGAAUCAGGGUGGCAGUGGUCCAAAAACACAGCUGCCCAAGUGUAUAAACAAGUGACUCCGAUCCUUUUCAUCCACCUCGCUAAGCAAAGUGCAGGAUCCACACAUACACACUUGAUUAAGGGUAUUUUCAUGUUUGUGUUGCCAGACUCUUCCAAUGACACAUAUCUCAGAGGUGAGCGGUAAAAACAGAAUAUAGGUCUUAAGACGUCCAUGCAUAAGGCACCAUCAAGCGAUUUCACUGACAUGCCUGUAAAUUACUCACAGUUUCCCUCUUUUGUUUACUCAGUGAAAGGGUUGUUUAUUAAGCACCACCUGCAUUAAAUUAUAUGAGUAUUCAUUUCCUUUGGAAAUAAUUAGCUUGUUUAUGCACCAUUUUCUUUGACUUCAUCAACUGUACCAUUUCAGGGGCAUGCUAGAGAGAGGGAGGAAAAACACCAUUUGAGAAUAACCUUUCUUAAUCUCCAGGAGGAGGAUGGCACUCUCAGUUCCUCCCGAAAAGAGUUCCCUUUACUUAUUCUGCCAUGUUAAUUCUAAUUAGCAAUUGGAUGGAGUUGAGACGGGACAUAGGCAAAGGAAUCUCUCUUCUUUCCUGUAGAGCCCAGAAAACCAAGUUACUUCAAUAAUAGGAAUAAUCGGGGCACCUGGGUUGCUCAGUUGUUAAGCAUCUGCCUUCGGCUCAGGUCAUGAUCCCAGGGUCCUAGGAUCGAGCCCUGCAUCGGGCUCCCUACUCGACCAGGAGCCUGCUUCUCCCUCUCCCACUCCCCCUGCUUGUGUUCCCUCUCUCUC